rnacentral:ribozyme from 1 species
AGCAAUAACGCACUGAUAUGGAUAUGGAUCAAAAGUAUCUCAAAGAAAUACAUAGGCUCUCCAUACCCCACUCCGACGCAAUAACUCAAUAAUUUCACGACGUACAGAACGGUUAUAUAUAUCGCCAAAUAUCUGAGCUUAGGUAUACGGGGAAAUCCGUUGGGAAGAUGGGUUAUAUGGCUAAAUUGAUCGGC